UACUAAUAUUUUUAGGUGCUUGUGAGGCACCUAUCCAUGUAUUCAUCUUCCACCACUGAAUAUAUUUAAAGGAGGUGAAUCUCAGCAUCUGAUUCUGCCUGUUCUUGCACAUACGUAGUCCAGACUGGAAGUGUGACAGCUGCAGGAUAACAGAGACCUUUGUUUUGUUGAGGCAGGACAGAUGGAAUCUCAGGGUUCUUUUGUGGAAGCAGAUUGUGGUGACAAUCCUUAUGUCAGCAAGAAAACAAGAGUUUUACCUGGACUGAAUUAAUGUUUUAAGGUUUCCUCUGUCAGUCAGUUUAUUCUUCAAAGUCCUUUAAGCUUUUUAGUAUUUGAAUUUUUAAACACCUUAGAAGGCUCAUAGUAAUUAAUGUUAAUGUGAUAACAUGUAUUCCAACCACAGCAACUCAGUGCUAAGCAUUUGUUAUAAAAAGUUAGUGCAAGAUGUUUCAAAAAAUUAUGUGAAUGUUUAUUGUCUUUUAAGAAAAAUCAUCACAAAAACAUCAAAGUCCUUGCAUUUAAAGUGAAGAUUGAGACUUUGUUCUGCACACUUUGUGUGCACACUUUGUUGUGUGUAAUAUAAUGUGUCUUAUCCCUAAAUAUUUCUACUUGCUAAGAAGAAUUUAAUUAAACAAAGGAAAAAAAUAUUUCAAGACAUCACUUAAUUCUCAGUUCAUUCUGAUUAUAAUGGACUCUAAUCAACUGAAAGUAGAGCGCAAAAUUAAUGUGAAGUGUUACUUCUGAUUUUCAUUUUUAAAAGGAAGAUUUAUUUUUAUGAGUCUUUAAAAGGUUUUAAUCAAUAUGAGCUGAUUCUUUAGAACAUGCCUCAUCAAAAAAAAAAAAAAAAAAAAAAGCUUUUUAAAAAAAAAUGUUGCUACUUGUUGCAAUAUGGUAAAACAGGUUGACUUAGGAGCACUUCUGUAA